GGCUCGGUAGCGCGCGGUGCGCAUCUGCGUGCGUUUUCGGGCUUGAGGACCCAAUUUGAAGCAGAAAACGCCUGUUCGACUCAGGCUCGAGCCA